rnacentral:rRNA from 1 species
CUUGACUUAAAUAUAAGAGGUCCAGCCUGCCCAGUGACAAAAUUCAACGGCCGCGGUAUACUAACCGUGCGAAGGUAGCAUAAUCACUUGUUCUUUAAAUAGGGACUAGUAUCAACGGCAUCACGAGGGCUAUACUGUCUCCUCCCUCCAAUCAGUGAAACUGAUCCCCCCGUGAAGAAGCGGGGAUUUGACUAUAAGACGAGAAGACCCCAUGGAGCUUUAAACCCAAUAUAUACCCCCUCCCCAAGCAUCAACUUAAUCUAGCGGGCCUGUAUACUGGUUUUAGGCUGGGGGGGCCACGGAGUAAAAUUAAACCUCCACAACAAAUGGGCUAAUACCCUUACCCACGAUUUUAUAAAUCUAAGAAUCAUCAAAAUGAUGUCAAAUGACCCGAUAAUUCGAUCAAUGAACCA